rnacentral:rRNA from 1 species
UACGAAGGGGGCUAGCGUUGCUCGGAUUGACUGGGCGUAAAGGGCGCGUAGGCGGUUUGUACAGUCAGACGUGAAAUCCCGGGCUCAACCCCGGAACUGCCUUCGAUACUGGGUAUCUUGAGUUCGGAAGAGGUGAGUGGAAUUGCGAGUGUAGAGGUGAAAUUCGUAGAUAUUCGCAGGAACACCAGUGGCGAAGGCGGACUCACUGGUCCGGUACUGACGCUGAGGUGCGAAAGCGUGGGGAGCAAACAGGG